rnacentral:rRNA from 1 species
GACGAACGCUGGCGGCAGGCCUAACACAUGCAAGUCGAACGAGUGGGGACGGGUGAGUAACACGUGGGUAACCUCCCAUCAGAGGGGAUAACACUUGGAAACAGGUGCUAAACCGAUACUGAUGGAUGGACCCGCGGUGCAUUAGCUAGUUGGUGGGGUAACGGCUCACCAAGGCCACGAUGCAUAGCCGACCUGGGAGGGUGAUCGGCCACACUGGGACUGGAACACGGCCCAGACUCCUACGGGAGGCAGCAGUGGGGAAUCUUCGGCAAGGGACGAAAGUCUGACCGAGCAACGCGGCGUGAGUGAAGAAGGUUUUCGGAUCGUAAAACUCUGUUGUUAGAGAAGCGGUAUCUAACCAGAAAGCCACGGCUAACUACGUGCCAGCAGCCGCGGUAAUUC